rnacentral:rRNA from 1 species
UACGUAGGGUGCAAGCGUUAAUCGGAAUUACUGGGCGUAAAGCGUGCGCAGGCGGUUGUGCAAGACCGAUGUGGAAUCCCCGGGCUUAACCUGGGAAUGGCAUUGGUGACUGCACGGCUAGAGUGUGUCAGAGGGGGGUAGAAUUCCACGUGUAGCAGUGAAAUGCGUAGAGAUGUGGAGGAAUACCGAUGGCGAAGGCAGCCCCCUGGGAUAACACUGACGCUCAUGCACGAAAGCGUGGGGAGCAAACAGG